rnacentral:rRNA from 1 species
AUACGUAGGGUGCAAGCGUUGUCCGGAAUUAUUGGGCGUAAAGAGCUCGUAGGCGGUUUGUCGCGUCUGCUGUGAAAAUCCAAGGCUCAACCUUGGACCUGCAGUGGGUACGGGCAAGCUAGAGUGCGGUAGGGGAGAUGGGAAUUCCUGGUGUAGCGGUGGAAUGCGCAGAUAUCAGGAGGAACACCAAUGGCGAAGGCACAUCUCUGGGCCAACACUGACGCUGAGGCGCGAAGGCUAGGGGAGCAAACAGGAUUAGAUACCCUGGUAGUCCUAGCCUUAAACGAUGAUGACUUGGUGUGUCGGGUUUGAGCCCCGAUGUGCCGGAGCUAACGCGUUAAGUCAUCCGCCUGGGGAGUACGGUCGCAAGACUGAA